AUUGAACGCUGGCGGAAUGCUUUACACAUGCAAGUCGAACGGCAGCACGGACUUCGGUCUGGUGGCGAGUGGCGAACGGGUGAGUAAUGUAUCGGAACGCGCCCAGUCGUGGGGGAUAACGUAGUGAAAAUUACGCUAAUACCGCAUACGAUCUAUGGAUGAAAGCGGGGGAUCGCAAGACCUCGCGCGAUUGGAGCGGCCGAUAUCAGAUUAGGUAGUUGGUGGGGUAAAGGCCCACCAAGCCAACGAUCUGUAGCUGGUCUGAGAGGACGACCAGCCACACUGGAACUGAGACACGGUCCAGACUCCUACGGGAGGCAGCAGUGGGGAAUUUUGGACAAUGGGCGAAAGCCUGAUCCAGCCAUUCCGCGUGCGGGAUGAAGGCCCUCGGGUUGUAAACUGCUUUUGUACAGAACGAAAAGGUUUCUACUAAUACUAGGAGCUCAUGACGGUACUGUAAGAAUAAGCACCGGCUAACUACGUGCCAGCCGCCGCGGUAA
rnacentral:rRNA from 1 species